rnacentral:pre_miRNA from 1 species
UGGAGGAACACCCCAGGAUGCGGGCCAGCUCUGGAGUCCUGGAGUCAGCUCCCGCAGUAACUCUGGAGCUCUCGUCUGCAAGGGCUGGAGGCUCCGGGGCGGG